rnacentral:rRNA from 1 species
AUUGAACGCUGGCGGCAUGCUUUACACAUGCAAGUCGAGCGGCAGCGCGGGGGCAACCCUGGCGGCGAGCGGCGGACGGGUGAGUAAUGCAUCGGAACGUAUCCCGUAGUGGGGGACAACCCAGCGAAAGCUGGGCUAAUACCGCAUAUGCUCUACGGAGGAAAGUGGGGGACUCGCAAGGGCCUCACGCUAUGGGAGCGGCCGAUGUCCGAUUAGCUAGUUGGUGGGGUAAUGGCUUACCAAGGCGACGAUCGGUAGCUGGUCUGAGAGGAUGAUCAGCCACACUGGGACUGGGACACGGCCCAGACUCCUACGGGAGGCAGCAGUGGGGAAUUUUGGACAAGGGGGGCAACCCUGAUCCAGCCAUGCCGCGGGCGGGAAGAAGGCCUUCGGGUUGUAAACCGCUUUUGUCCGGGAAGAAAAGGCCACCGCUAAUACCGGUGGUUCUUGACGGUACUGGAAGAAUAAGCACCGGCUAACUACGUGCCAGCAGCCGCCGUAACAC